UACGUAGGGUGCGAGCGUUGUCCGGAAUUAUUGGGCGUAAAGAGCUCGUAGGCGGUGUGUCGCGUCGGCCGUGAAAACCUGCAGCUUAACUGUGGGCUUGCGGUCGAUACGGGCAUCACUGGAGUUCGGCAGGGAGACUGGAAUUCCUGGUGUAGCGGUGAAAUGCGCAGAUAUCAGGAGGAACACCGGUGGCGAAGGCGGGUCUCUGGGCCGAUACUGACGCUGAGGAGCGAAAGCGUGGGGAGC
rnacentral:rRNA from 1 species